rnacentral:rRNA from 1 species
AGUGGCGGACGGGUGAGUAACACGUAGGUAACCUGCCCCGGAGCGGGGGAUAACAUUUGGAAACAGAUGCUAAUACCGCAUAACAACAAAAGCCACAUGGCUUUUGUUUGAAAGAUGGCUUUGGCUAUCACUCUGGGAUGGACCUGCGGUGCAUUAGCUAGUUGGUAAGGUAACGGCUUACCAAGGCGAUGAUGCAUAGCCGAGUUGAGAGACUGAUCGGCCACAAUGGAACUGAGACACGGUCCAUACUCCUACGGGAGGCAGCAGUAGGGAAUCUUCCACAAUGGGCGCAAGCCUGAUGGAGCAACACCGCGUGAGUGAAGAAGGGUUUCGGCUCGUAAAGCUCUG